rnacentral:rRNA from 1 species
GACGAACGCUGGCGGCGUGCCUAAUACAUGCAAGUAGAACGCAGUUGCGAACGGGUGAGUAACGCGUAGGUAACCUGCCUCAUGGCGGGGGAUAACUAUUUGAAACGAGAGCUAAUACCGCAUACUGUGAGCUGGACCUGCGUUGUGUUGGCUAGUUGGUGAGGUAAAGGCUCACCAAGGCGACGAUACAUAGCCGACCUGCAAGGUUGAUCGGCCAAACUGGGACUGGAACACGGCCCAGAAUCCUACGGGAGGCAGCAGUAGGGAAUCAUCGGGAAUGGACGGAAGGCUGACCAAGCAACGCCGCGUGAGUGAAUAAGGUUUUCGGAUCGUAAAGAUCUGUUGUGAGUGAAGCGGUAACUAAACAGAAAGCGCCGGCUAACUACGUGCCAGCAGCCGCGGUAAUUC